AACGCACCUUGCGCCCUUUGGCUAUUCCGAAGGGCAUGCCUGUUUGAGUAUCAUGAACACCUCAACUCUCAUGGUUUGCCAUGAUGAGCUUGGACUUUGGGGGUCUUGCUGGCCUAUGGUCGGCUCCUCUCAAAUGAAUCAGCUUGCCAGUGUUUGGUGGCAUCGCGGGUGUGAUAACUAUCUACACUUGUGGUUUUCCACCAGAUAACCUUCAGUGAUGAAGGUUCGCUGGAGCUCACAAAUGUCUCUCCUCGGCGAGGACAGCUUUCUGAACGUUUGAUCUCAAAUCAGGUAGGACUACCCGCUGAACUUAA
rnacentral:misc_RNA from 1 species